rnacentral:rRNA from 1 species
AUUGAACGCUGGCGGCAGGCCUAACACAUGCAAGUCGAGCGGCAGCGGGAAAGUAGCUUGCUACUUUUGCCGGCGAGCGGCGGACGGGUGAGUAACGCCUGGGAAAUUGCCCAGUCGAGGGGGAUAACAGUUGGAAACGACUGCUAAUACCGCAUACGCCCUACGGGGGAAAGCAGGGGACCUUCGGGCCUUGCGGGAUUGGAUAUGCCCAGGUGGGAUUAGCUAGUUGGUGAGGUAAUGGCUCACCAAGGCGACGAUCCCUAGCUGGUCUGAGAGGAUGAUCAGCCACACUGGAACUGAGACACGGUCCAGACUCCUACGGGAGGCAGCAGUGGGGAAUAUUGCACAAUGGGGGAAACCCUGAUGCAGCCAUGCCGCGUGUGUGAAGAAGGCCUUCGGGUUGUAAAGCACUUUCAGCGAGGAGGAAAGGUUGGCGCCUAAUACGUGUCAACUGUGACGUUACUCGCAGAAGAAGCACCGGCUAACUCCGUGCCAGCCGCCGCAGUAAUAC